GGUGUUUAUAAAUGUAAUUACUUGGUAAGUAUGUAUAAUUUUAACUAAAUGACUUUAUUUGUGCAUUAGUUUGUCGAAGUACAAUGGAGGAUCCACUUUUGCUUUAAUUCCUUACGGACCACGAGGCCGAUUUGGUUGUGCUUGACCUGCUUUUAGAGUGUGGAUACAACUACGAAAGGCUGCAGUACAUUAGUGCUUUAGAUCUUGAUAUAAUAUUUUCCAAGAGAGAACAUCUUGGUCUGAAAUCCGAGUUCCGCGAGAAGCUCCAAAAAUGGAGUCGAGCACAACACAUUGAUGUCUGCGCAUUGGAUACGACUGUGCCAAAACUAAUAUUAAAUUUAAGGUUAAAUUCAUAAAGGAGUUGAAUUUUAAAGGUACCACGUACAAAAAAGAAUACUUUUUAACUAAAAAUGUUUCAUCAGUUUAGAGCUCUACAAAAUUGUUCGAAAACAUGAAAUUUAUUUCACAGCAAAGGAAUUUUUUGUGAGCAGCUUUAAUUAGCAUUACCAAUCCUAUGAAAUUGGCUCACUUAUAAAUAAUAUUAAGAUAAUAAAUAUAAACGAAUUUGAAGGCCCACCAAUUCAUGUAUAUUACACACCAACUG